GAUCUAAUGGCACUAACAAUUCCUCCAGCAAGGCGUCUGACUACGAAUCAGAAGAUUGUGGGUUCGAUCCCCAUCAUGAUCA
rnacentral:tRNA from 1 species